ensembl:misc_RNA Metazoa_SRP Metazoan signal recognition particle RNA
GCCGGGCAUGGUGGCGGGUGCCUGUAGUCCCAGCUACUUAGGAGGCUGAGGCAGGAGAAUUGCUUGAACCCAGGAAACAGAGGUUGCAGUGAGCCGACAGAUCGCACCAGUGCACUCCAGCCUGGGUGACAGAGUGAGACCCUGUCUCAA